CGUGAGGGGACGCGGGAAGGGAAGGGGCGGCCUCGCCAUUUCUCCCUUUCCCCUCCCAAUUCCCGGGCCGGAGCGGGGUCAGCAGCCGUCGGUGCAGCCCUGGAACCCUCCCCCCUCGGGAGGAGGAGGAGCCGCCAGAGUAGCGCCGCUUACCCCGGAAUCGCUGAGGUUGGAAUCUUUGGGAUCACUGAGUCCAAGAUGGGCCCGAUCCCCGCCUUGUCACUGAGUGCAACAUCCAGGCCUUCCCUUGCAGGUUCAUUCCCACAUUCCCUGUGACCCUCCCCUGGCUCCAGGUCCCACAUCCCUGGGAGAGCCCCGAGCUCUGUGCCUGAGGCAAAGCUCCACCAACAGGGAAGGAAAUCCAUGGCUUUUCCUUCUGGAGCAUCCCUCCUGCUCUGGAAGCUUUAGGAAAUAAUUAGGAUGGCCUGGAUGUGCCAGAUCCGUCCCCAAAGCUUGGGAAUUCCAUUGCGUUCCAAAGUUUGGGAAGAGCGGUUUGACUCCACCGGGAGCAGGAGUUUUUCCGGCAUUCCCAGCCGGAAUUUAGGAUUUAGGGAUGCUGCCGCCGGGUGCCGCCGUUUUUCCCGGCGGUUUUUCCCGGCCGAGCCGCUGGAUGGAGCAGGAGGAAAAGCCGUGGAUUGAUCUCCGCGGGAAUGGUUCCCAGGAUUUCCUCUCCCCGCAUGGAGCAGCCAAGGGGUCACACAACCAUGGAAUUGUUGAGGGUGGAAAACACCUUUGGGAUCAUCAAAUCCGAGCUCCAGCGCGGGAUGGAGCCGCGGGAUCUCCCGGGGGUAGAAUAAUCGGGAUUUAGGGAAUGGUGUCCCUAUCCAGGAUAUUCCAGGCUCCCGGGAAGGGCUGAUCCAAGGAAACACCGCCCAGCCCUGUCCCCAGGACGGGAGGGACAGCUGGGUUUCCAUAGAACCCCUUCCAAACACAGCCAUCCACCAGCCAAACAAGGACAAUCCCAUUUUUCCUAAGGAAUGUGUGGAUUUAGGGUGAUCCUUAACCCCCAGAUCCCAGUUUGAUUUUGGCUCCCUCCAUCCCUCCAGAGCUGAGCUUGAGCCACACUUGGGUUUUUAUUCCACACACAACGAUGCAUCAACCAAACAAAGAAAAUCCCAUUUCCUCCACUGAGCCCUUCCUGGGCUCAAUUCACAGUUGAGUUUUUAUAGAACCCAUUCCAAGCACAGCCAUCCAUCAGCUGGAACCAAACAAGGACAAUCCCAUUUUUCCUAAGGAAUGUGUGGAUUUAGGGUGAUCCUCAACCCCCACAUCCCAGUUAUAUUUUGGCUCCAUCUGUCCCUCCGGAGCCGGGCUCCAUUCCCGCCAGGACGGAGCCAGAGGGAUCUCAGCUCUGCCUUCACCCAACCCCAAAAAUGGCAAAGGAAUCAGCGCUUGGAGCCCGGAAUCUCCUUGGAAGAGCAGCCUGGAAUCUCCCUGGAAGAUUCCAAGCACCCGGGAGGCUCCGGCCGAUUCCCAGACCUGGAGGAUCUGAACCACUUGGGGGGUUUUUGUCCCCCUGAUAAUCUGGGGGCUGAGCAAUGGGGUCAGUCCCUUCCCUUGGCUGCUCCAGGAUAUCCAGGAGAGGCUGGAAAAUCCCCGGCUGUGUUUGGGAUGUGUUUUCCUGGGAGCAGCCCCCGCUUUCCGUGGCUGCUGUAAACAAAUCAAUCUCUGCAGCUGAGCCCAUCCCGGAGGAGACUCCAAGGAAUUCUGACGGGUUUUAUGCCCAAAUAAAUCAUUCCUGCCCUGGCAA